rnacentral:rRNA from 1 species
AGUGAACGCUGGCGGUAGGCCUAACACAUGCAAGUCGAACGGCAGCACAGUAAGAGCGUGCUCUUCCGGGUGGCGAGUGGCGGGCGUGAGAGGAAUACAUCGGGAUCUACUUUUUCGUGGGGGUUAACGUAGGGAAGCUUAAUCUAAUACCGCAUACGCCGUACGGGUGAAAGCAGGGGAUCUUCGGACCUUGCGCGAUUGAACGAGCCGAUGUCGGACUAGCUAGUUGGCGGGGUAAAGACCCACCAAGGCGACGAUCCGUAGCUGGUCUGAGAGGCUGAUCGCCGACACGAGAGCUGGACCGCGGUCCAGAGGCCUACGGGAGGCAGCAGUGGGGAAUGUUGGGCAGUGGGCGCAAGCCUGAUACAGUCAUACCGCGUGGGUGGAGAAGGCCUUCGGGUUGUAAAGCCCUUUUGUUGGUAAAGAAAAGCAGCAGCUUAAGACCCCGCUGUUCUGACGGUAACCAAAGAAUAAGCACCGGCUAACUACGUG